GAUGAACGCUGGCGGCGUGCCUAAUACAUGCAAGUAGAACGCUGAAGCUUGGUGCUUGCACCGAGCGGAUGAGUUGCGAACGGGUGAGUAACGCGUAGGUAACCUGCCUCUUAGCGGGGGAUAACUAUUGGAAACGAUAGCUAAUACCGCAUAAAAGUCGAUAUCGCAUGAUAUUGACUUGAAAGGUGCAAUUGCAUCACUAAGAGAUGGACCUGCGUUGUAUUAGCUAGUUGGUGAGGUAACGGCUCACCAAGGCGACGAUACAUAGCCGACCUGAGAGGGUGAUCGGCCACACUGGGACUGAGACACGGCCCAGACUCCUACGGGAGGCAGCAGUAGGGAAUCUUCGGCAAUGGGGGCAACCCUGACCGAGCAACGCCGCGUGAGUGAAGAAGGUUUUCGGAUCGUAAAGCUCUGUUGUAAGAGAAGAACGAGUGUGAGAGUGGAAAGUUCACACUGUGACGGUAACUUACCAGAAAGGGACGGCUAACUACGUGCCAGCAGCCGCGGUAAUACGUAGGUCCCGAGCGUUAUCCGGAUUUAUUGGGCGUAAAGCGAGCGCAGGCGGUUAGAUAAGUCUGAAGUUAAAGGCUGUGGCUUAACCAUAGUACGCUUUGGAAACUGUUUAACUUGAGUGCAGAAGGGGAGAGUGGAAUUCCAUGUGUAGCGGUGAA
rnacentral:rRNA from 1 species